GCGUAUGCAUCAGGGGUAGGGGAGCGUUGUAUGUAGGUUGAAGGUGUACCGUAAGGAGCGCUGGACAGCAUACAAGUGAGAAUGCCGGUAUGAGUAACGAAAAGAUCAGUGAGAAUCUGAUCCGCCGAAAGCCCAAGGUUUCCUGAGGAAGGCUCGUCCGCUCAGGGUAAGUCGGGACCUAAGGUGAGGCCGAAAGGCGUAAUCGAAGGACAACAGGUUGAAAUUCCUGUACCACCGUAAACCGUUAUGAACGAUGGGGUGACGCAGGAGGGUAGUGACGCGGACUGAUGGAUGUCCGUCCAAGCAGUGAGGCUGAUGUGUAGGCAAAUCCGCACAUCGAUAAGGCUGGGCUGUGAUGGGGAGUGAAAAUUAUAGUAGCGAAGGUCAUGAUCUCACACUGCCAAGAAAAGCCUCUAGUCAGGUGAAGGUGCCCGUACCGCAAACCGACACAGGUAGGCGAGAAGAGAAUUCUAAGGCGCGCGGAAGAACUCUCGUUAAGGAACUCGGCAAAAUGACCCCGUAACUUCGGGAGAAGGGGUGCCUCGGUAGGGUGAAUAGCCCGAGGGGGCCGCAGUGAAAAGGCCCAAGCGACUGUUUAGCAAAAACACAGGUCUGUGCGAAGCCGUAAGGCGAAGUAUACGGGCUGACGCCUGCCCGGUGCUGGAAGGUUAAGGGGAGCGGUUAGGAGCAAUCCGAAGCUGUGAACCGAAGCCCCAGUAAACGGCGGCCGUAACUAUAACGGUCCUAAGGUAGCGAAAUUCCUUGUCAGGUAAAUUCUGACCCGCACGAAUGGCGUAACGACUUGGGCGCUGUCUCAACGAGAGAUCCGGUGAAAUUUUAAUACCUGUGAAGAUGCAGGUUACCCGCGACAAGACGGAAAGACCCCAUGGAGCUUUACUGCAGCUUGAUAUUGGAUUUGGGUACGAUCUGUACAGGAUAGGUGGGAGCCUUUGAAGCAUGAGCGCCAGCUUGUGUGGAGGCGACGUUGGGAUACCACCCUGAUCGUAUCUAGGUUCUAACCUGGUACCGUAAUCCGGUACGGGGACAGUGUCAGGCGGGCAGUUUGACUGGGGCGGUCGCCUCCUAAAGAGUAACGGAGGCGCCCCAAGGUUCCCUCAGAAUGGUUGGAAAUCAUUCGAAGAGUGCAAAGGCAUAAGGGAGCUUGACUGCGAGACCUACAAGUCGAGCAGGGACGAAAGUCGGGCUUAGUGAUCCGGUGGUACCGCAUGGAAGGGCCAUCGCUCAACGGAUAAAAGCUACCCUGGGGAUAACAGGCUUAUCUCCCCCAAGAGUCCACAUCGACGGGGAGGUUUGGCACCUCGAUGUCGGCUCAUCGCAUCCUGGGGCUGAAGUAGGUCCCAAGGGUUGGGCUGUUCGCCCAUUAAAGCGGUACGCGAGCUGGGUUCAGAACGUCGUGAGACAGUUCGGUCCCUAUCUGUCGUGGGCGUAGGAAAUUUGAGAGGAGCUGUCCUUAGUACGAGAGGACCGGGAUGGACGUACCGCUGGUGCACCAGUUGUUCCGCCAGGAGCAUGGCUGGGUAGCUACGUACGGACGGGAUAAGCGCUGAAAGCAUCUAAGCGUGAAGCCCCCCUCAAGAUGAGAUUUCCCAACUAGUAAGACCCCUUGAAGACGACGAGGUAGAUAGGUUGGAGGUGGAAGUGCAGCAAUGCAUGGAGCUGACCAAUACUAAUCGGUCGAGGGCUUAUCCAA
rnacentral:rRNA from 1 species